rnacentral:rRNA from 1 species
UACGAAGGGGGCUAGCGUUGCUCGGAUCACUGGGCGUAAAGCGCACGUAGGCGGAUUGUUAAGUCAGGGGUGAAAUCCUGGAGCUCAACUCCAGAACUGCCUUUGAUACUGGCGAUCUUGAGUCCGGGAGAGGUGAGUGGAACUGCGAGUGUAGAGGUGAAAUUCGUAGAUAUUCGCAAGAACACCAGUGGCGAAGGCGGCUCACUGGCCCGGUACUGACGCUGAGGUGCGAAAGCGUGGGGAG